UACGGGGGGGGCAAGCGUUGUCCGGAAUCAUUGGGCGUAAAGAGCUCGUAGGCGGCCGGUUGCGUCUGCUGUGAAAUCCCGGGGCUUAACCCCGGGCGUGCAGUGGAUACGGGCUGGCUGGAGGCAGGCAGGGGAGAAUGGAAUUCCCGGUGUAGCGGUGAAAUGCGCAGAUAUCGGGAGGAACACCGGUGGCGAAGGCGGUUCUCUGGGCCUGUGCUGACGCUGAGGAGCGAAAGCGUGGGAGCGAACAGG
rnacentral:rRNA from 1 species